CGCCAAAUGACUUAGGCCUACGAUAGGAGUAUGUGAGCGGUGUUCCCAUGUCGUGUGACCUGUGUCUUUGUGUGCACUCCCUGGGGAAGCGGCCCCAUCACGACCCCGGUCAACAGGCCUGGAAUGGAGUCCAGUCCAGAGGAGUGGGUUGAGGACCCCUGGAGACCAGUGAGAUCAUGAUGAGCCUCUCAGGCUGCUGGGACUUCUAGUUUCUGUUUCUGUGGUUCCACAAUGCAGUUUCUCCUGCCCUAGGGUGAAUACUGGAGACUGUGUUCUGGGAAGCUAGCCUGUUAUCACUGGAAAAUUCUCCAGCUGGAGUCCUCCAACAUGCCAGCUAGGAAGCUCGUCUCCCUCACUGAAGGAAUGUUCUGUGCAGCAGGGUGUGGCUCCCAUCUUCCUGCGUGUAGUGUUUGGACAAAAUGUUCUGUUUGGUUUCUGGUGCUUCCUGAGCAUGUAAAGAAUGCGAACAUCUUAGACCUGAGCCCUCAGCUUCUUUUCCUCCUGGUCAAUGACAGCUCAUUAAAAUGACUUGGAUUCCUAACAGAGCUGGCCAGACCUGGGCUCCAGCCAUGAGGACCAGAAUCACUUGGUCUGGGCUGGAUGUGGCAUCGGAAUCUUUAUCACCCCCAAUUCCAGCAUGGACUAGAGGUGAAGUUAUGAAUAACCUGGGAACUUGACUGGGCUGAGUCUAAGGCCUGCCAGGAGGAGGCUGCUCCAGUCCCCACCCCAAUCUGCCUGAGUCUACUGGGUCAUCUCUACAGUGGGGAGAAUGUGGCUUGACACGCGUGGACAGUUGGUACGUGUCUGGAGCUUCCUGUUUGAAUUGUGCCUUUUGUCUCUUGGGGCAGUUCAGCCCAGCUGUCCUCAGCCCAGCCAUUCCCUGAGUGGUGCUAUCACAGCUGCCCCGUGGCCUCUCCAGCCACAUUUGGGGUCCGUCUGGGAGAAUUGGAGAUCAAAUGCAAGCCUGUGGGAAACCUCAUUAGAUCCAACUGGCAAGAGAUGAACAAACCUGGAGAACAUGAGACAGAGCCCACAGGAAAAACAGUAUGAGCAGGAUAUGACCCAGGAAGGCUGUCCUGGAAAGGUUCCAUGCACCUUGAGUCCUGGGCCCCUCAGAAGCACUGAGAGAGCUACCUGAACUGGGCUGAGUGGAGGAAGCACACUCUCAAGUCCACUUGCUCUCCCCAGACUCACCCUGUAGGCCUCAGCAUUUUCUCUUCCUGCCACAUUUCCCACUCCAUCACCUCCCUUCUCCGCAGCCCUGUGGCCUUGUCCAGUCACCAGGGAGAGGGAGUGAAGCCCUCUGCCUUCUGCCUCAGUUCCUGUUGAAGAGUUUGUAGUAAGAAAGGCACUCUUUCCAUCAAGGUACCUGCUGCUGAGCCAAGGCUCCCCGUUUUGUGGCUGAAAAGCGUCUCUGCCCUAAUGGGGAGGUGCAAGUGCAGGACAAGGAGCGGGAGGCUCUGUGCCACUGCAGCCCACUGUCGGCUGCCCAACGCCUCCUCCCAGGGCGGGGACCACAGCAGCCGCUCCACCAGAGCCACCCCUCUUCUGGUGUAGGAGGCAGGGUGGAUCCGCUCCUUCCUCUCUGCACUGCAGCCAGGGCUGACUUGAUGCCCUGGGGGCUUUCUUUUCCAGUAAAGCUUGAAAACUGUCUGCCUGAGGCUCCAAACUCCGUGCAUCACCUUGAGGUUGAUGGAUGAUGAGAUGUGUUUUUACAAAUAAAGUUUAAGCAUUUUUUUCCUUCUCAAAUCCUGAAAAUGGCGCAGAGACCGCCCCCUCUUUCCCCUCAGGGCUGAGAGCAGCAGCAGCCUGUCUGGCUCAAGCCCCCAUUAUGGUUUCCAGAGAAGCUGCUGGCUGGAGAUAGAACAUCUGGUUUGUGUAAGAGGCACAGCUCAAACUUGGCUAUGAAGAACUGAUUUCUG
ensembl:lncRNA